UGGGGAAUAUUGCACAAUGGGCGAAAGCCUGAUGCAGCAACGCCGCGUGAGGGAUGAAGGCCUUCGGGUCGUAAACCUCUGUCCUUGGGGAAGAAACAAAUGACGGUACCCAUGGAGGAAGCCCCGGCUAACUACGUGCCAGCAGCCGCGGUAAUACGUAGGGGGCGAGCGUUAUCCGGAAUUAUUGGGCGUAAAGAGUGCGUAGGUGGUUACCUAAGCGCAGGGUCUAAGGCAAUGGCUCAACCAUUGUUCGCCCUGCGAACUGGGCUACUUGAGUGCAGGAGAGGAAAGCGGAAUUCCUAGUGUAGCGGUGAAAUGCGUAGAUAUUAGGAGGAACACCAGUGGCGAAGGCGGCUUUCUGGACUGUUACUGACACUGAGGCACGAAAGCGUGGGGAGCAAACA
rnacentral:rRNA from 1 species